ACUUAAAUUGAAGAGUUUGAUCAUGGCUCAGAUUGAACGCUGGCGGCAGGCCUAACACAUGCAAGUCGAACGGUAGCACAGAGAGCUUGCUCUCGGGUGACGAGUGGCGGACGGGUGAGUAAUGUCUGGGAAACUGCCCGAUGGAGGGGGAUAACUACUGGAAACGGUAGCUAAUACCGCAUAACGUCGCAAGACCAAAGUGGGGACCUUCGGGCCUCACACCAUCGGAUGUGCCAGAUGGGAUUAGCUAGUAGGUGGGGUAACGGCUCACCUAGGCGACGAUCCCUAGCUGGUCUGAGAGGAUGACCAGCCACACUGGAACUGAGACACGGUCCAGACUCCUACGGGAGGCAGCAGUGGGGAAUAUUGCACAAUGGGCGCAAGCCUGAUGCAGCCAUGCCGCGUGUAUGAAGAAGGCCUUCGGGUUGUAAAGUACUUUCAGCGAGGAGGAAGGCGUUGUGGUUAAUAACCGCAGCGAUUGACGUUACUCGCAGAAGAAGCACCGGCUAACUCCGUGCCAGCAGCCGCGGUAAUACGGAGGGUGCAAGCGUUAAUCGGAAUUACUGGGCGUAAAGCGCACGCAGGCGGUUUGUUAAGUCAGAUGUGAAAUCCCCGGGCUCAACCUGGGAACUGCAUUUGAAACUGGCAAGCUUGAGUCUCGUAGAGGGGGUAGAAUUCCAGGUGUAGCGGUGAAAUGCGUAGAGAUCUGGAGGAAUACCGGUGGCGAAGGCGGCCCCCUGGACGAAGACUGACGCUCAGGUGCGAAAGCGUGGGGAGCAAACAGGAUUAGAUACCCUGGUAGUCCACGCCGUAAACGAUGUCUAUUUGGAGGUUGUGCCCUUGAGGCGUGGCUUCCGGAGCUAACGCGUUAAAUAGACCGCCUGGGGAGUACGGCCGCAAGGUUAAAACUCAAAUGAAUUGACGGGGGCCCGCACAAGCGGUGGAGCAUGUGGUUUAAUUCGAUGCAACGCGAAGAACCUUACCUACUCUUGACAUCCAGAGAACUUAGCAGAGAUGCUUUGGUGCCUUCGGGAACUCUGAGACAGGUGCUGCAUGGCUGUCGUCAGCUCGUGUUGUGAAAUGUUGGGUUAAGUCCCGCAACGAGCGCAACCCUUAUCCUUUGUUGCCAGCGGUUCGGCCGGGAACUCAAAGGAGACUGCCAGUGAUAAACUGGAGGAAGGUGGGAUGACGUCAAGUCAUCAUGGCCCUUACGAGUAGGGCUACACACGUGCUACAAUGGCAUAUACAAAGAGAAGCGACCUCGCGAGAGCAAGCGGACCUCAUAAAGUAUGUCGUAGUCCGGAUUGGAGUCUGCAACUCGACUCCAUGAAGUCGGAAUCGCUAGUAAUCGUAGAUCAGAAUGCUACGGUGAAUACGUUCCCGGGCCUUGUACACACCGCCCGUCACACCAUGGAGUGGGUUGCAAAAGAAGUAGGUAGCUUAACCUUCGGGAGGGCGCUUACCACUUUGUGAUUCAUGACUGGGGUGAAGUCGUAACAAGGUAACCGUAGGGGAACCUGCGGUUGGAUCACCUCCUUACCUUAAAGAA
rnacentral:rRNA from 1 species